rnacentral:rRNA from 1 species
AUUGAACGCUGGCGGCAGGCCCAACACAUGCAAGUCGAGCGGAUGAAGGGAGCUUGCUCCUGGAUUCAGCGGCGGACGGGUGAGUAAUGCCUAGGAAUCUGCCUGGUAGUGGGGGAUAACGUCCGGAAACGGGCGCUAAUACCGCAUACGUCCUGAGGGAGAAAGUGGGGGAUCUUCGGACCUCACGCUAUCAGAUGAGCCUAGGUCGGAUUAGCUAGUUGGUGGGGUAAGGGCCUACCAAGGCGACGAUCCGUAACUGGUCUGAGAGGAUGAUCAGUCACACUGGAACUGAGACACGGUCCAGACUCCUACGGGAGGCAGCAGUGGGGAAUAUUGGACAAUGGGCGAAAGCCUGAUCCAGCCAUGCCGCGUGUGUGAAGAAGGUCUUCGGAUUGUAAAGCACUUUAAGUUGGGAGGAAGGGCAGUAAGUUAAUACCUUGCUGCUUUGACGUUACCAACAGAAUAAGCACCGGCUAACUUCGUG